GAUGAACGCUGGCGGCGUGCCUAAUACAUGCAAGUCGAGCGAACAGAUGAGGAGCUUGCUCCUUUGACGUUAGCGGCGGACGGGUGAGUAACACGUAGGUAACCUACCUAUAAGACUGGGAUAACUUCGGGAAACCGGAGCUAAUACCGGAUAAUAUUUCGAACUGCAUGGUUCGAUAGUGAAAGAUGGCUUUGCUAUCACUUAUAGAUGGACCUGCGCCGUAUUAGCUAGUUGGUAAGGCAACGGCUUACCAAGGCAACGAUACGUAGCCGACCUGAGCGGGUGAUCGGCCACACAGGAACUGAGACACGGUCCAGACUCCUACGGGAGGCAGCAGUAGGGAAUCUUCCGCAAUGGGCGAAAGCCUGACGGAGCAACGCCGCGUGAGUGAUGAAGGUCUUCGGAUCGUAAAACUCUGUUAUUAGGGAAGAACAAACGUGUAAGUAACUGUGCACGUCUUGACGGUACCUAAUCAGAAAGCCACGGCUAACUACGUGCCAGCCGCCGCCGUAAAAC
rnacentral:rRNA from 1 species